rnacentral:lncRNA from 1 species
GUUUUAGGGCUGCACCUGCAGCAUAUGGAGGUUUCCAGGCUAGGGGUCUAAUAGGAGCUGUAGCCGCCAGCCUACGCCAGAGCCACAGCAACGCAGGAUUCAAACUGCGUCUGCAAGCUACACCACAGCUCACGGCAACACCGGAUCCUUAACCCACUGAGCAAGGCCAGGGAUUGAACCCACGACCUCCUGGUUCCUAGUCAGAUUCAUUUCCACUGCACGGGGAUGGGAACUCCUGAUUAUAUAUUGUUAUGAUGUCAGUGAGGUUUUAACAUUUAAAAAUGUUGUUAAAUGUUAACCCCAGGAAAUGAAUCUGACUAGCAUCCAUGAGGAUAUGCAGGUUUGAUCCCUGGCCUUCAGUGGGCUGAGGAUCUGGCAUUGCCACGAAGUGUGGUGUGGGUCACAGAUGCAGCUCGGAUCCCAGUCUCUGUGGCUGUGGCGGAGGCCGACGGCUACAGCUCCUAUUCUACCCCUAACCUGGGAGCCUGCAUAUGCUGUGGUGUGGCCCUAAAAAGACAGAAAAAAUAAUUGUUAGAAAUGACAAAUUCCUUUUUCAUCUACGAACAAAUUUCCUUCCUUGUUCGUCUGAUACCCAUCAGCACGGUCUGGCUAGAACCCUCUCUUCAGCACAGUGUUUCUUAUCAGGUUUCCCUUCAUCGUGCCUGUAUCUCUCAAGACGAGUAUCUCUUUUCAGUAGUUCUGGGUCAGGUCAUGAUUCCUCGUUCCCACUUCCCUUUGCGCCAUCAAGGGUUUACUGUUGACAGCCUGGGGUGCUUCGUUUCUAGCAGAGGCUUCGCGCCAUCUUUAUCUUAAAAGGCCAACUUGAAUCUCACCCACCAUCUUGAAAGUUAGACAUACAAAAAUUUUUGAUCAACCAAAAUGAUAGAAAUCUUGAAUUUGACAAUGAACAAAGCAAAACACAAAUAGAAGCUGCACAGUGAGUGUGACAACCCACCUGCUCAGGCAGCUUCACAGAGACACCAGUGAGACGCUGAACGAUCAAUGAUGUAAUUUUCCAUUUAGAAUCUCAGAUUCUAUUUUGUUGUAAAUUACUAGCAGAAAGUGACAGCACUGGGCCCUUCCAACAGACUGUUCUACCAUAUCAAAAUGGAACAAAUUUAUAAUACUGGUUUUUUUACAUGUUACUUUCCGAUUACUUUUAAAAUAUGGUUUAAUGAUUUUUAAAUGAUCAUUUUAAUCUGGCAAAUACUAAAUAGGAUUUACCUACUGGUCUUUAUUUUUCUUAGGUAUAACUUCCCAAAAUACAAUCAACAGACUUAAUCUAUUGCCAUGAAUUUGUUCUAUAAUUCAGUAAAAUAUUUUAAAAGGAGAAAAAAAAGUUUAUAUCGAAUACAUCAAGACACUACUUUCAAUGCAUCAAAUAUUGUGGGAGACUUUUAUUAUACCAGUCAAAAUGUGACUGAGUCUGAAAAGGAUCCAUUUAAUUUUUAGAUUUUUUUUUUUUUGUCUUUUUAGGGCUGCACCCUUGGCAUAUGGAGGUUCCCAGGCUAGGGGUCAAAUUGGAGCUAUAGCCGCUGGCCUACACUACAGCUGUAACAAUGAGGGAUCUGAGCCGUGUCUGCAACCUACACCACAGCUCACAGCAACGCCAGAUCCUUAACUCACUGAGCGAGGCCAGG